GGCGGACGGGUGAGUAAUACUUAGGAAUCUACCUAGUAGUGGGGGAUAGCUCGGGGAAACUCGAAUUAAUACCGCAUACGACCUACGGGAGAAAGGGGGCAACUUGUUGCUCUCGCUAUUAGAUGAGCCUAAGUCGGAUUAGCUAGAUGGUGGGGUAAAGGCCUACCAUGGCGACGAUCUGUAGCUGGUCUGAGAGGAUGAUCAGCCACACCGGGACUGAGACACGGCCCGGACUCCUACGGGAGGCAGCAGUGGGGAAUAUUGGACAAUGGGGGCAACCCUGAUCCAGCCAUGCCGCGUGUGUGAAGAAGGCCUUUUGGUUGUAAAGCACUUUAAGCAGUGAAGAAGACUCCGUGGUUAAUACCCACGGACGAUGACAUUAGCUGCAGAAUAAGCACCGGCUAACUCUGUGCCAGCAGCCGCGGUAAUACAGAGGGUGCAAGCGUUAAUCGGAAUUACUGGGCGUAAAGCGAGCGUAGGUGGCUUGAUAAGUCAGAUGUGAAAUCCCCGGGCUUAACCUGGGAACUGCAUCUGAUACUGUUAGGCUAGAGUAGGUGAGAGGAAGGUAGAAUUCCAGGUGUAGCGGUGAAAUGCGUAGAGAUCUGGAGGAAUACCGAUGGCGAAGGCAGCCUUCUGGCAUCAUACUGACACUGAGGCUCGAAAGCGUGGGUAGCAAACAGGAUUAGAUACCCUGGUAGUCCACGCCGUAAACGAUGUCUACUAGUCGUUGGGUCCCUUGAGGACUUAGUGACGCAGCUAACGCAAUAAGUAGACCGCCUGGGGAGUACGGCCGCAAGGUUAAAACUCAAAUGAAUUGACGGGGGCCCGCACAAGCGGUGGAGCAUGUGGUUUAAUUCGAUGCAACGCGAAGAACCUUACCUGGUCUUGACAUAUCUAGAAUCCUGCAGAGAUGCGGGAGUGCCUUCGGGAA
rnacentral:rRNA from 1 species